rnacentral:rRNA from 1 species
GCCUGCAUGAAGUUGGAAUCGCUAGUAAUCGCGGAUCAGCAUGCCGCGGUGAAUACGUUCCCGGGCCUUGUACACACCGCCCGUCACACCAUGGGAGCCGGUAAUACCCGAAGUCAGUAGCCUAACCGCAAGGAGGGCGCUGCCGAAGGUAGGAUUGGCGACUGGGGUGAAGUCGUAACAAGGUACC